CCAGCAGCCGCGGUAAUACGGGAGUGGCAAGCGUUAUCCGGAAUUAUUGGGCGUAAAGCGUCCGCAGGCGGUCUUUUAAGUCUGUUGUUAAAGCGUGGAGCUUAACUCCAUUUCAGCAAUGGAAACUGGAAGACUAGAGUGUGGUAGGGGCAGAGGGAAUUCCCGGUGUAGCGGUGAAAUGCGUAGAUAUCGGGAAGAACACCAGUGGCGAAGGCGCUCUGCUGGGCCAUAACUGACGCUCAUGGACGAAAGCCAGGGGAGCGAAAGGGAUUAGAUACCCCUGUAGUCCUGGCCGUAAACGAUGAACACUAGGUGUCGGGGGAAUCGACCCCCUCGGUGUCGUAGCCAACGCGUUAAGUGUUCCGCCUGGGGAGUACGCACGCAAGUGUGAAACUCAAAGGAAUUGACGGGGGCCCGCACAAGCGGUGGGAGUAUGUGGUUUAAUUCGAUGCAACGCGAAGAACCCUUACCAGGGUUUGACAUCCUGCGAAUCCCUUGGAAACGAGGGAGUGCCUUCGGGAACGCAGUGACCAGGUGGUGCAUGGCUGUCGUCAGCUCGUGUCGUGAGAUGUUGGGUUAAGUCCCGCAACGAGCGCAACCCACGUCGUUAGUUGCCAGCAUUCAGUUGGGCACUCUAGCGAGACCGCCGGUGAUAAACCGGAGGAAGGUGUGGAUGACGUCAAGUCAUCAUGCCCCUUACAUCCUGGGGCUACACACGUACUACAAUGCUACGGACAAAGGGCAGCAAACUCGCGAGAGCUAGCAAAUCCCAUAAACCGUGGCUCAGUUCAGAUCGUAGGCUGCAACUCGCCUACGUGAAGGAGGAAUCGCUAGUAAUCGCAGGUCAGCAUACUGCGGUGAAUACGUUCCCGGGCCUUGUACACACCGCCCGUCACACCAUGGAAGUUGGCCACGCCCGAAGCCGUUACUCCAACCCUUGUGGAGGAGGACGUCGAAGGUGGGGCUGAUGACUGGGGUGAAGUCGUAACAAGGUAGCCGAU
rnacentral:rRNA from 1 species